GAUGAAGAAUGUAGUGAAAUGCGAUAAGUAGUGUGAAUUGCAGAAUUCAGUGAAUCAUCGAAUCUUUGAACGCACAUUGCGCCCUUUGGUAUUCCUUAGGGCAUGCCUGUUCGAGCGUCAUUUGAAACCUCAAGCUCAGCUUGGUGUUGGGUGUCUGUCCCCGCCUCACCGCGGGGACUCGCCUCAAAAUCAUUGGCGGCCGGUACGUUGGCUUCGAGCGCAGCAGAAACGCGAACUCGAGGCCCGGCGGAUCGGCGACCAGAAGUCACUUCUUCACAGUUUGACCUCGGAUCAGGUAGGGAUACCCGCUGAACUUAAGCAUAUCAAUAAGCGGAGGA
rnacentral:misc_RNA from 1 species